rnacentral:misc_RNA from 1 species
GGGAACUUGUGCUCACAUUUUUAGUUUCCUCAAAACUCAUCUGAGUUUUAUCUUUUUAAUUCUCUUCUUCACUUUCUUUCCUUUCUCUUCCCUUUCCCAAAUGGCCACCAUUGAGGUUGAAUCAGCCCCUGUAGUAUUGCCAGAGCCUGAGGCAGCUCCAGUGGUUCAACAUGAGGAGAAAGUCGUAGAAGAGCCAGUGGCUGAAGCCCCUGCUGAAGAGCCAAAGGAGGAAGCUGCCCCUGAAGCUGUGGAGGUAGAGGAGCCGGCACCAGUCGCAACCGAACCGGAAGUCGAAACCAAGGAAGAAGUUGAGGUAAAGGAAGAGGCCAAGCCAGAGGAGGCAGAGCCUGUAGCUGGUGCUUCCGAGCCCGAAGCACCAGUCGAGGCCGAAGAGAAGAAGGAGGAAGAGGCCAAAGAGGAAACAGUGGAGCCUGUGGUGGAGAAAACAGAAGAACCACAGGAAGUGAAGAGUGAAGAUGCUGUUGAAGAGAGCUCAGAAGCUGCAGCACCAGCUGAGGAAGAGAAGCCAAAAGCAGAGGAAUAAAGAGAGACAAUGUGCUGGAGAAGUGGUUUAGGUUGAAUGUUAAAAGUUGGUUUUAUUUGUUGUCUCAGUGUUUGUUUAUGGAUUGAGGCAAAGUCAUGAGGGUUGGGAAUUAGAAUGGCUUAUGUAUUUCAACUUCAGUCCAAAGAGUUUAAAACACAGAGUUGGAAUUUUAAGGUUUGCCAAUAUGGGAUAUAGAAGUCAGUCCCAGAAGAGUCAUUUCAUUCGCUAUUCUGUGUGGUUGAAUAUGUUGUUCUCUAGCUUUGAAUAAAAUCAUAGUUUAC